AUUGAACGCUGGCGGCAGGCUUAACACAUGCAAGUCGAGCGGAGAUGAGGUGCUUGCACCUUAUCUUAGCGGCGGACGGGUGAGUAAUGCUUAGGAAUCUGCCUAUUAGUGGGGGACAACAUUCCGAAAGGAAUGCUAAUACCGCAUACGUCCUACGAGAGAAAGCAGGGGAUCUUCGGACCUUGCGCUAAUAGAUGAGCCUAAGUCGGGUUAGCUAGUUGGUGGGGUAAAGGCCUAGCAAGGCGACGAGCUGUAGCGGGUCUGAGAGGAUGAUCCGCCACACUGGGACUGAGACACGGGCCAGACUCCUACGGGAGGCAGCAGUGGGGAAUAUUGGACAAUGGGGGGAACCCUGAUCCAGCCAUGCCGCGUGUGUGAAGAAGGCCUUAUGGUUGUAAAGCACUUUAAGCGAGGAGGAGGCUACUGAGACUAAUACUCUUGGAUAGUGGACGUUACUCGCAGAAUAAGCACCGGCUAACUCUGUGCCAGCAGCCGCGGUAACAC
rnacentral:rRNA from 1 species